UUGAGUUAGGUCUGUGGUUGAAAGUCGAUGCCAGUCGCAGGCGAAACGAUCCACGUAAGUUAAACAAAGAUUUAAUGAGCAUGGUGCGGCUUAGAAGUAAGUCCUGCCGUAAUGUAUACGAGAGGGUUAGUAGUGAGAGGAUAAUCCGGGUAGCAAAAACUCCAGCAGGCGAGUGUGGGGUCAAAGACCAGGUCAGCUAACUUAA
rfam:Clostridium cellulovorans 743B, complete genome.